rnacentral:rRNA from 1 species
GAUGAACGCUGGCGGCGUGCCUAAUACAUGCAAGUCGAGCGAACGGACGAGAAGCUUGCUUUUCUGAUGUUAGCGGCGGACGGGUGAGUAACACGUGGAUAACCUACCUAUAAGACUGGGAUAACUUCGGGAAACCGGAGCUAAUACCGGAUAAUAUUUUGAACCGCAUGGUUCAAAAGUGAAAGACGGUCUUGCUGUCACUUAUAGAUGGAUCCGCGCUGCAUUAGCUAGUUGGUAAGGUAACGGCUUACCAAGGCAACGAUGCAUAGCCGACCUGAGAGGGUGAUCGGCCACACUGGAACUGAGACACGGUCCAGACUCCUACGGGAGGCAGCAGUAGAGAAUCUUACGCAAUGGGCGAAAGCCUGACGGAGCAACGCCGAGUGAGUGAUGAAGGUCUUCGGAUCGUAAAACUCUGUUAUUAGGGAAGAACAUAUGUGUAAGUAACUGUGCACAUCUUGACGGUAGCUAAUCAGAAAGCCACGGCUAACUACGUG